rnacentral:rRNA from 1 species
GAUGAACGCUGGCGGCGUGCCUAACACAUGCAAGUCGAACGGAGUUACUUGUUUAGAUCUCUUCGGAGUGACGAACUUUUAACUUAGUGGCGGACGGGUGAGUAACACGUGAGCAACCUGCCUUUCACAGGGGGAUAACUGCUGGAAACGGCAGCUAAGACCGCAUAGGUAUGGACACUGCAUGGUGACCAUAUUAAAAGUGCCAAGGCACUGGUAGAGGAUGGACUUAUGGCGCAUUAGCUGGUUGGUGAGGUAACGGCUCACCAAGGCGACGAUGCGUAGCCGACCUGAGAGGGUGACCGGCCACACUGGGACUGAGACACGGCCCAG